rnacentral:rRNA from 1 species
CAAUGAUGCAUAGCCGAGUUGAGAGACUGAUCGGCCACAUUGGGACUGAGACACGGCCCAAACUCCUACGGGAGGCAGCAGUAGGGAAUCUUCCACAAUGGACGAAAGUCUGAUGGAGCAACGCCGCGUGAGUGAAGAAGGGUUUCGGCUCGUAAAGCUCUGUUGGUAGUGAAGAAAGAUAGAGGUAGUAACUGGCCUUUAUUUGACGGUAAUUACUUAGAAAGUCACGGCUAACUACGUGCCAGCAGCCGCGGUAAUACGUAGGUGGCAAGCGUUGUCCGGAUUUAUUGGGCGUAAAGCGAGUGCAGGCGGUUCAAUAAGUCUGAUGUGAAAGCCUUCGGCUCAACCGGAGAAUUGCAUCAGAAACUGUUGAACUUGAGUGCAGAAGAGGAGAGUGGAACUCCAUGUGUAGCGGUGGAAUGCGUAGAUAUAUGGAAGAACACCAGUGGCGAAGGCGGCUCUCUGGUCUGCAACUGACGCUGAGGCUCGAAAGCAUGGGUAGCGAACAGGAUUAGAUACCCUGGUAGUCCAUGCCGUAA